rnacentral:rRNA from 1 species
GACGGAAGGUGCAAGCGUUGCUCGGAAUCACUGGGCGUAAAGGGUGCGUAGGCGGCCGUGCAAGUCUGGCGUGAAAGCCCCGGGCUCAGCCCGGGAAGUGCGCUCGAAACUGCGCGGCGUCGAGUGCCGGAGGGGAGAGUGGAAUUCCUGGUGUAGCGGUGAAAUGCGUAGAUAUCAGGAGGAACACCGGUGGCGAAGGCGGGUCUCUGGGCCGAUGAUCGACGCUGAGGAGCGAAAGCGUGGGGAGCGAACAGG